rnacentral:rRNA from 1 species
GGCCCCUUGUUAUUAUUAGAGUUUGUUUGCUAAAUAAGGGGUCCGGCCUGCCCGGUGACUCUGAAGUGGGGUUUAACGGCCGCAGUAUUACUGUGCUAAGGUAGCAUAAUCAUUUGCCUAUUAAUUGUAGGAUAGUAUGAAUGGUUAGACGAGGGUCUGGCUGUCUUUCUGUAAAUAUUGAGAAAUUAUUUUCUAGGUGAAAAUUCUUAGAUGAGGUUGAGGGACGAUAAGACCCUGUCGAGCUUUAGUAUAGUUGUGAGGAUUGGGUGUUCGUAGUUUUAUAGUUGUUUGAUCUUUGUGAUGGAAUCUUUGAUUGGGGCGAUCGAGAAGUAGGGAGAACCUUUUUCUUUUUUUAUAUGUUGGUGAGUGGUCGAUCUGGCGUGGUGCAGAAAGGAGAAGAAGUUACCGCAGGGAUAACAGCGUAAUCUUCUUGGAGAGUUCUUAUUGAGAGGAAGGUUUGCGACCUCGAUGUUGGACUAAGUUAUCCUGAAGGUGUAGGGGCUUUCAAGGGUUGGUUUGUUCAACCAUUAAAAACUUACA